AUAUCUGGGAUACACCUCGGGGUGUGUAUUUUCCAGACUGGAACUGGUGGAGUUUUUGAUAUGCAAUUCCAGGACUCUAGUCAUCUAAUUACAUUUCCUCACUUUUUCCCCCUUCUUGUUAUGUAGGUUUAUUUAAGUUAUGUAGGUUUUGUUAUUAGGUUCUCCUGGAUCUAUUCUCAAAUUUUUCUGUUUUUUUUCCCCUCAUCUUCAAAUUAUUUUUUUCCCAGAACUUUGAAGUAUUUAUACCCCCUUGAUCUUCUAGCCCACUAAAGUGAAUCUCAACAAUGUUAUCCUCUCUUCAGUUCAUCUGAUAAUUAGUCAAAAAGUCACAGUUUUGAUG
rnacentral:lncRNA from 1 species